rnacentral:rRNA from 1 species
CUACGGGAGGCAGCAGUGAGGAAUUUUGCGCAAUGGGGGAAACCCUGACGCAGCAACGCCGCGUGAGUGAAGAAGGCCCUUGGGUCGUAAAGCUCUGUCAAUGGGGAAGAAGUUACUUGGUAUUAAUAGUGCCUUGUAUUGACGGUACCCAUGAAGGAAGCACCGGCUAACUCCGUGCCAGCAGCCGCGGUAAUAGCGGGGGGUGCAAGCGUUAUUCGGAAUUAUUGGGCGUAAAGGGCACGCAGGCGGUCCUGUCAGUCAGAUGUGAAAGCCCGGGGCUCAACCCCGGACGUGCAUUUGAAACAGCAGGACUUGAGUACGGGAGAGGAAAGGGGAAUUCCUGGUGUAGAGGUGAAAUUCGUAGAUAUCAGGAGGAACACCGGUGGCGAAGGCGCCUUUCUGGACCGAUACUGACGCUGAGGUGCGAAGGCGUGGGUAGCGAACGGGAUUAGAUACCCUAGUAGUC